rnacentral:rRNA from 1 species
GUUACUUUGUAACUAGGAUGUUGGCGUAAUGAUCUAAUAUCGCCCGUCUUGAAACACGGACCAAGGAGUCUAACGUCUAUGCGAGUGUUUGGGUGUAAAACCCAUACGCGGAAUGAAAGUGAACGUAGAUGGGAGCCUUUUAAACGGCGCACCAUCGACCGAUCCUGAUGUCUUCGGAUGGAUUUGAGUAAGAGCAUAGCUGUUGGGACCCGAAAGAUGGUGAACUAUGCCUGAAUAGGGUGAAGCCAGAGGAAACUCUGGUGGAGGCUCGUAGCGGUUCUGACGUGCAAAUCGAUCGUCGAAUUUGGGUAUAGGGGCGAAAGAC